rnacentral:rRNA from 1 species
UACGGGGGGAGCAAGCGUUGUUCGGAUUUACUGGGCGUAAAGCGUGCGCAGGCGGCUUUGCAAGUCAGAUGUGAAAUCCCCGGGCUCAACCUGGGAACUGCAUUUGUGACUGCAUGGCUGGAGUGCGGCAGAGGGGGAUGGAAUUCCGCGUGUAGCAGUGAAAUGCGUAGAUAUGCGGAGGAACACCGAUGGCGAAGGCAAUCCCCUGGGCCUGCACUGACGCUCAUGCAGGAAAGCGUGGGGAGCAAACAGG